UAUCAGUGCUCAGUCGUACUAUCUUGAAACUGGAACAGUACAGGGAAAAUUAGAAUGGUUUCUGCACAAGGAUGACACCCAAAUUUGGAAAAAGGCUCCUGUUUUU
ensembl:snRNA U6 U6 spliceosomal RNA